GAGAAUCAAUAGAUUUUAAUCAUAAUAACUUGGCCGAAUUCUGUGAUAAAUACCUAACGUAUUGAGUCGUGUUUUGUUAUUUUGUUUCAAUUUGCGUUACAAUUGAGUUUUGUUUUGCCUGUUAAUCAUUUAUUAUACAUUUUUAGUAGCAGCCCUUGACAGCGGCUUACGGUUCUACGUUGUGACCCAUGUAUGGUCAGUUUAUGACGCAACUAGAAAUAAGAGUUACAAAAAAUUUGGUAGGAUCAAAUUUGGCAACCCUUGUAGAAGUGAGAAGAGUUUCUGGAAAAUCUCUAGAAAGUAACAUCAGUCGGCGUGUAUU